rnacentral:rRNA from 1 species
GAUGAACGCUGGCGGCGUGCUUAACACAUGCAAGUCGAACGAGAAGUGAAGACGGAAACCUUCGGGCGGAAGACUUUAUUUCGAGUGGCGGACGGGUGAGUAACGCGUGGGUAACCUGCCUCAUACAGGGGGAUAACAGUUGGAAACGACUGUUAAUACCGCAUAAGACCACAGCACCGCAUGGUGCGGGGGUAAAAACUCCGGUGGUAUGAGAUGGACCCGCGUUCGAUUAGCCAGUUGGCGGGGUAACGGCCCACCAAAGCGACGAUCGAUAGCCGAUCUGAGAGGAUGACCGGCCACAUUGGGACUGAGACACGGCCCAAACUCCUACGGGAGGCAGCAGUGGGGAAUAUUGCACAAUGGGGGAAACCCUGAUGCAGCGACGCCGCGUGGGUGAAGAAGUAUUUCGGUAUGUAAAGCUCUAUCAGCAGGGAAGAAAAUGACGGUACCUGAGUAAGAAGCCCCGGCUAACUACGUGCCAGCAGCCGCGGUAAUACGUAGGUCCCGAGCGUUGUCCGGAUUUAUUGGGCGUAAAGCGAGCGCAGGCGGUUAGAUAAGUCUGAAGUUAAAGGCUGUGGCUUAACCAUAGUACGCUUUGGAAACUGUUUAACUUGAGUGCAAGAGGGGAGAGUGGAAUUCCAUGUGUAGCGGUGAAAUGCGUAGAUAUAUGGAGGAACACCGGUGGCGAAAGCGGCUCUCUGGCUUGUAACUGACGCUGAGGCUCGAAAGCGUGGGGGAGCAAACAGG